rnacentral:rRNA from 1 species
CAAUCUGCCCUUCACUCUGGGACAAGCCCUGGAAACGGGGUCUAAUACCGGAUAACACUCUGUCCCGCAUGGGACGGGGUUAAAAGCUCCGGCGGUGAAGGAUGAGCCCGCGGCCUAUCAGCUUGUUGGUGGGGUAAUGGCCUACCAAGGCGACGACGGGUAGCCGGCCUGAGAGGGCGACCGGCCACACUGGGACUGAGACACGGCCCAGACUCCUACGGGAGGCAGCAGUGGGGAAUAUUGCACAAUGGGCGAAAGCCUGAUGCAGCGACGCCGCGUGAGGGAUGACGGCCUUCGGGUUGUAAACCUCUUUC